ensembl:misc_RNA
ACAAAGUUCAGGAGUCUGAAGUCUUCUGUAUAUCCACAGACUAGACAUAGUACAGAAAGUAUCAGUGCAAAACCUGGUUGUUCUUUCAACUUCAAUCUUGGUUUGGAAGGACCUUUGGGGGAGAGGAUAGUUUGAUCCUUGGUCAUUCAUCUCAGACUGAC